UGGCCAGAGGACUCAUUAGCUGAUUCCGCAGUUAACUCACCUGGGGGAAAAAAGCUUUGGAAGUCCAUGAAAAUACGUCCAAAUCCCUGACUCCUUGGCUAGCAUUAAAGAUAUUCUGAGCAACAAAGUUUAAGAAAGAAAAAUAUCAACAAAGAAAGGGAACAGGAUAUCAUCUGCAGAAGAUGCGUGCACAGUAACAUUUUUCUGUACUCUAGCACCAACAUGGAAAUAUGAUUUUACUAAAGAGAAACUGAAGCCAUCUGAGUAAACAACACACCGAAGAAAUUCUGUCUGAUAAGUAAGUUUUUGUCAGAAGCUCUCCGUGGAUAUAGUGUGUCAUGCCAUUUACUAAAAUUAAGAGCCAGACGUUGUUACAAAGCUUAAGAUACUCAAUGCAAGAAAGAAACCUUAAAAUUCUUUAAAUGAGGACGUAUUUGUUCUAAUACAAGCCAGAUUUGUUUUAUGACAGAAACCAGUCUGCUGUUUUAUAAUAAAAAUGGAAAUGAUAUCGAUGUAUAGAAAAUGCAAUUAUCAUUAUGAAUAAUAAUGGCAUGUAGUUUACGUGAACUUAUUACUUUUUGAAGUACAAAAAUAAAAA
rnacentral:antisense_RNA from 1 species